UGGGGAAUAUUGGACAAUGGGCGAAAGCCUGAUCCAGCAAUGCCGCGUGAGUGAGGAAGGCCUUAGGGUUGUAAAGCUCUUUCGGCGGGGACGAUGAUGACGGUACCCGCAGAAGAAGCCCCGGCUAACUUCGUGCCAGCAGCCGCGGUAAUACGAAGGGGGCGAGCGUUGUUCGGAUUUACUGGGCGUAAAGGGCGCGCAGGCGGUCAUUUUUGUCGAGUGUGAAAGCCCCGGGCUUAACCUGGGAACUGCGCUCGAAACGGGAUGACUAGAGUUCGGGAGAGGAGAGUGGAAUUCCCAGUGUAGAGGUGAAAUUCGUAGAUAUUGGGAAGAACACCGGUGGCGAAGGCGGCUCUCUGGACCGAUACUGACGCUGAGGCGCGAAAGCGUGGGGAGCAAACAGGAUUAGAUACCCCCGUAGUCC
rnacentral:rRNA from 1 species